CAUUUUCAUCUGUCCACCACUUUCAGCUUAAGUGAACCUGGGACGCAUGUUGUCUCGGAUCCUGCAGUCAUUGGGUAAACCGGUCUCUCAGCCCCAUGUAUGUUAUGAACAGAUUCUUUGGAAUUCCUUAGAUGAGCACACAAAGAAGACAUUCAAACUGAUAACCACUGUAGGGGACCAAGGUGGACUUUGCCAGGACUGGUGAGAUAGCUCAUCUGAGAGGAUGCCUGCUUUGCCAUGUGGGUGAGUCAGGUUUGAGCUCCCAGUACACUACAUAGGAGCACUAUGGCAACGGGGGAAGCUUCAGUGCUGUGCUGUAGCUCCCUCUCCUCUCUCUGCCUGUCUCUCUCCCUCUCCCUCUUUCUGUAUGAAAAAGUCAACCUGGAGCAGUGACACCCCAGUGACCACAAUAGGAACAAACAAAAAGGCUGCUAUCUUUAAGCCCCAAAUCAAACUAUAGC